rnacentral:rRNA from 1 species
CGAGACACGUGAAACCUUGUGGGAAUAUCGGGGGACCACCCCCGAAGGCUAAAUACUACCCAGCGACCGAUAGAGAAUAGUACCGUGAGGGAAAGGUGAAAAGAACCCCGGGAGGGGAGUGAAAUAGAACCUGAAACCCUAUGCUUACAAGCUGUAGGAGUCCUUUUAUAUGGAUGACUGCGUACUUUUUGUAGAACGGGCCAACGAGUUGCAAUAUGUUGCAAGGUUAAGUAUUUAAGAUACGAAACCGCAGCGAAAGCGAGUCUUAAAUGGGCGUUUUAGUUGCAUAUUGCAGACCCGAAACCAGGCGACCUACCCAUGGUCAGGAUGAAGUUUCCUUAACCGGAAAUGGAGGUCCGAACCCACGCACGUUGAAAAGUGCGGGGAUGAACUGUGGGUAGAGGUGAAAUUCCAAUCGAGCCUGGAGAUAGCUGGUUCUCUCCGAAAUAGCUUUAGGGCUAGCGUCAGAGUUUAGAUUGCAGGAGGUAGAGCACUGACUG